UUUGAAACACCAGUUCCCGUACGAUCAUCGAAGUUAAGCAACGUCGAGCCUGAUCAGUACCUAGAUGGGUGACCGCUUGGGAAUGCCAGGUACAGU
rnacentral:rRNA from 1 species